AUACGUAGGGGGCGAGCGUUGUCCGGAAUGAUUGGGCGUAAAGGGCGCGUAGGCGGCCCGGUAAGUCUGGAGUGAAAGUCCUGUUUUUAAGAUGGGAAUUGCUUUGGAUACUGUCGGGCUUGAGUGCAGGAGAGGUAAGUGGAAUUCCCAGUGUAGCGGUGAAAUGCGUAGAGAUUGGGAGGAACACCAGUGGCGAAGGCGACUUACUGGACUGUAACUGACGCUGAGGCGCGAAAGUGUGGGGAGCAAACAGGAUUAGAUACCCUGGUAGUCCACACUGUAAACGAAGAAUGCUAGGUGUAGGGGGUAUCGACCCCUUCUGUGCCGCAGUCAACACAAUAAGCAUUUCGCCUGGGGAGUACGGCCGCAAGGUUGAAACUCAAAGGAAUUGACGGGG
rnacentral:rRNA from 1 species